UUUCACCGAAUUCAACCGAAAUUAGAUAGAACGUUCUAUCGUUAAAUGACAGAUGUCCUACGAACUCGGUUUUACGAUUGUGAGCUGAGCGUAGCGUGGUCACGGCGUUCGGGAACUUGUUACACACCUCCCGACACCAAUCACUGUAUUCCUUUUUCUCGACAUCGAACUCAUAAAUCUGUGGGGAGAAAUUCAAACUUGCAAGAGCAAAUUGAAAUUACUGGAUGUAGCUAUCACCAAGAACUUUUCAUCUGGGGUGAAAACAAUCCGAUGAGCUGAAUAGGAAGGAAGGCCUUUUUUCACCUUCCUGAGAUCAACUGAUGCUUGAAGCCAUCUAUGUCCGAGUAUGACAUCCAGUUUGCACGAGAACUUAUUGCACAACAGGCAAUAUGCUGCCCAUCUUUUGUCUUCAGCUGGAUCAGCUUCUGUGGAGGGAUUUCCUCAGGUAAAACCUCCCCAUCUUUCUCUACAGGUAAGGAAAAUCAUCAUGUUUAUUCAUACAAGAACCCACAAAACUUUAUUUACCUGGAAACUGAGACAUGCGUUUUUCAAAAUUCUUUAAAAUCAAAAGAUUUUUGCAGAAACUGAUGAGAUAAAGCAUGAUUUAUACCCGAGGUUUUCCUGGUGUUUCCCAGUCUCCAUAGCUCCAGGUAGUCAGGGUACUGCAGCAGGAGGGCAUUUCUGUCCUUAGCCACGCCCACCAACUGAUGCUGUAAACAAUUGCAAUUAAAGACACAACAUCAGUGGGAGUUACAGCCAUAGCCCGCACAUCGUGGGUGUGUUGGUACCAGAUUUUGGUUCUGACCCACAUCUUCCAGUCGCUCUCUCGACUCGUGGUGGUGUACUGGAACUGCACCACCUUGGGAUCCACCCCAGAGGAGAACACUUGCUUUUCAUCCUACAAAAAAAUAUGAAGGGGACUCAUGUGUCAGAAACUGUGAGAAACAUUAUCACAGGAAUUUAGCCGGGUUUGAUAAAUUUUACACCAACAGAGUAAGAAUGCAAAUAUUGUACAUAUGAUUUUAAUUACCACAGAGUUUUUAAAAUAAAAAUCAGUCCUCUUGUACAAUAAAUGAAAAAGGUACAUGUAUCAGUAACGAAUUCAAACAUGUAAUUUAUCAAACAUUAUUUUUAUAGCAAUACAUUGGUUAUUGAUAAUUAUAUAUUUACACAAAAGGUGAGAGAGUUAUACAAAUAUGUAUUUGGUAUGUAAUCAUGGAUCGCUGAUAAAAAAUGAUGUGCCUCAUACCUGGUGAACAGCUAAACACAAAACAUCAGCUUGGUGCAUUUGAAAGCUCUACAAAGAAAACCUUGACAUUUCAUUUAUGCUUUUAUUGAAGACACAUACAAAUGUACUAUCAUCUUAAAUUAUGAUUGUUAUACAUUGUAGAUAUUUCACAUGUAAAAAUGCAUCAAAAGAGAACUUUUAUAAUUUUAGUUUUUAUUAAAUUGAAACCUUUAUUUG
rnacentral:sRNA from 1 species